UAGGGAAUAUUGGACAAUGGGGGCAACCCUGAUCCAGCCAUGCCGCGUGAGUGAAGAAGGCCCUCGGGUUGUAAAGCUCUUUUGUCCGGAAAGAAAAGCUUCGGGUUAAUACCCCGGGGUUCUGACGGUACCGUAAGAAUAAGCACCGGCUAACUACGUGCCAGCAGCCGCGGUAAUACGUAGGGUGCAAGCGUUAAUCGGAAUUACAGGGCGUAAAGCGUGCGCAGGCGGUUGUGUAAGACAGAGGUGAAAUCCCCGGGCUCAACCUAGGAACUGCCUUUGUGACUGCAAAGCUGGAGUGCGGCAGAGGGGGAUGGAAUUCCGCGUGUAGCAGUGAAAUGCGUAGAUAUGCGGAGGAACACCGAUGGCGAAGGCAAUCCCCUGGGCCUGCACUGACGCUCAUGCACGAAAGC
rnacentral:rRNA from 1 species